UACGUAGGGUGCAAGCGUUAAUCGGAAUUACUGGGCGUAAAGCGUGCGCAGGCGGUGAUGUAAGACAGUUGUGAAAUCCCCGGGCUCAACCUGGGAACUGCAUCUGUGACUGCAUCGCUGGAGUGCGGCAGAGGGGGAUGGAAUUCCGCGUGUAGCAGUGAAAUGCGUAGAUAUACGGAGGAACACCAGCGGCGAAGGCGGGUAGCUGGGCCAACACGUGACGCUGAGACGCGAAAGCUAGGGGAGCAAACGGG
rnacentral:rRNA from 1 species